rnacentral:lncRNA from 1 species
UACUGAAUUAUUGAAUAGUAAAACUGAGAGCCAAAUUAAAAAAGCUCUUUUUGCUGUAUUGGCAACGCUGCAAAAUACAUAAUAUAAUACGUGGCUGAUGUAAUCCAUAAGUACGUAUGCCGUAAUACUUUGAAAAUGGAAGAAGACGCCAUUUAGAAGAAAUGCCGCAAAUAUUUUAAAACUUAAGGAAUGCUCGAGAGCUGGCAAAUCUACUAAUAAAAUUGACACUGGUAUUUGUACCACGAUUGAUGCUAAACUCGUAUAAAAUUGUAAUUCUGCUGGCCUAAAAUUACAUUGAAUAAUAAAUUUAGAGGACGCGUGCGUUGGUCAUUGGAAUAAUUAUGGAACGAUUUGGGGAGAUAACUUACGUAUAUUUGAAAUUGUCUCCGCUAAUCAACAUUUUCGAAUAAACAUUUUGAAGACA